rnacentral:rRNA from 1 species
UACGUAGGGUGCGAGCGUUAAUCGGAAUUACUGGGCGUAAAGCGUGCGCAGGCGGUUUUGUAAGCCAGAUGUGAAAUCCCCGGGCUUAACCUGGGAAUGGCAUUUGGGACUGCAAGGCUGGAGUGCGGCAGAGGAGACUGGAAUUCCUGGUGUAGCGGUGAAAUGCGCAGAUAUCAGGAGGAACACCAAUUGCGAAGGCAGCUCGCUGGGACGUUACUGACGCUGAGACGCGAAAGCGUGGGGAGCAAACAGG